GACGAACGCUGGCGGCGUGCUUAACACAUGCAAGUCGAACGGUGAAGCGCCUUCCUUUUUGGUGGGUGUGGAUGAGUGGCGAACGGGUGGGUAACACGUGAGUAACCUGCCCCCUUCUUCUGGAUAACCGCAUGAAAGUGUGGCUAAUACGGGAUAUUCUGGGUCUGUCGCAUGAUGGGUCUGGGAAAGAUAUUGUUUCGGUGGGGGGUGGGCUCGCGGCCUAUCAGCUUGUUGGUGGGGUGAUGGCCUACCAAGGCGGUGACGGGUAGCCGGCCUGAGAGGGUGGACGGUCACACUGGGACUGAGACACGGCCCAGACUCCUACGGGAGGCAGCAGUGGGGAAUAUUGCACAAUGGGCGCAAGCCUGAUGCAGCGACGCCGCGUGAGGGAUGGAGGCCUUCGGGUUGUGAACCUCUUUCGCCAGUGAAGCAGGCCUGCCUCGUUUGUGGGUGGGUUGACGGUAGCUGGAUAAGAAGCGCCGGCUAACUACGUG
rnacentral:rRNA from 1 species